UGCAGGGGAGGAUACUCUAAAUUGAAGCAAUGUGAAUGCAGGGGAGGCUACUCCAAACUGGAGCAAGGUGACUGCUUGUGUUCAGCGUCCAGACGAGCACCCCUCUGACUUUUGUGCUCCACUGAUUUGUGAAGUUAGAAAGCAUGGUAAUUUGAAUCCUGAAACUGAUCAUGAAAAGGAGAUGGUUAAAAUGGUUUUCAUGUCACAAUAUGCGGAGAAUAUUGCAAAGAGAUUUAGAGAGCAUCCAGAUGAUAUGCAAGGGAAAAGUUUGUCUAAAGUAGUUAGCAUUGCUACUAGAAUGUUUAAUGGGAGAGA